rnacentral:rRNA from 1 species
GACGAACGCUGGCGGCGUGCCUAAUACAUGCAAGUUGAGCGCUGAAGGUUGGUACUUGUACCGACUGGAUGAGCAGCGAACGGGUGAGUAACGCGUGGGGAAUCUGCCUUUGAGCGGGGGACAACAUUUGGAAACGAAUGCUAAUACCGCAUAAAAACUUUAAACACAAGUUUUAAGUUUGAAAGAUGCAAUUGCAUCACUCAAAGAUGAUCCCGCGUUGUAUUAGCUAGUUGGUGAGGUAAAGGCUCACCAAGGCGAUGAUACAUAGCCGACCUGAGAGGGUGAUAGGCCACAUUGGGACUGGGACACGGCCCAAACUCCUACGGGAGGCAGCAGUAGGGGAUCUUCGGCAAUGGACGAAAGUCUGACCGAGCAACGCCGCGUGAGUGAAGAAGGUUUUCGGAUCGUAAAACUCUGUUGGUAGAGAAGAACGUUGGUGAGAGUGGAAAGCUCAGCAAGUGACGGUAACUACACAGAAAGGGACGGCUAACUACGUG